rnacentral:sRNA from 2 species
AAACCAGUUGCGCCGAGCUCCAUCCGCUGGUUCGCGGGACGAUCGAGACCUUUGGAUGGAGGCGGGGGACCCACCGGUCCACCGACAGGACCUGGAGCCGAGUUCGGCUCCUUGGGGUGAAGCCGACGUCGUCUCGACGCCGCCGGCCGGGCGACCUCUCCAGCCCGAACCCGACAGCUGACCUCGCGGGCGCAUACGAGAGGACCA